GUUCGCCACCCUCCCCAAAAUAAAAAAAAUCGCUCGAUCGAAAAGGUUUUGCCCUGAGUUCUCACCCCUGCGGCCCUGCCACCGACCCCAGCCCCCAUCCCUUCCCCUCCCCCUCUUCCCUUCCGGCCGCUCGCCGAACGCCAUCGGAAGCCCCCGCGGGGCCACAUCGAAGAUCGGGUUCUUCGCUCUUCAGAAAUCAGAACCCUCCUCGUCGCCUCUUCCUCUUCCGCUCUCCAGCGAUGGAUCAGUAAUCGGGUGGUUCUUUACAAGAAUUUUUAUGCUUUAGUCUCUCUCUCUCUCUCUCUCUCUCUCUUUCCUUUAUUUCAUCUUCUCUUAAUUGCUGACUGUAUGGUUUUGAGUAACAAGACCAUGACUACAAAAUGUAGCGUCAUUGUGAACAUGCAUUUAUUAAGAUUCAUUACUUCUUUUUUAUCUUUAGUCUCUACAGCAUACAUGAAUAUGCCCAGCAUACAAGAAUAAUCAGCAAAUAAGGUUUUAAGAAUUAAGACCUCAAAAGGUUUGAUAUGCCCAGCAGGUUGUGAGUACGGUUUGAAAGCCACAAGCAUAUGCAUUGAUUAAAAACCAAGGGAGAUCUAGCAAACUUAACAAAGGCUAAAAAACAUGGGUGUUAACUGACAAUACUGUGAAUUCCCGAUGAAUUUGGAGAAAUAGCAAUAUGGAGACACAGAUUUGAGUUUGCUGUUUGCUUAAUUAUUUAUUUAUUUUGGGGCAUAAUAUAGUUUGCUAUAUUUUUUUUACUUAAUUAGCUUAAUUUUGUAGCUCUUUAUUCUUAUAUUCUUAAGAAUUAUGUGUGUUUAUGCUAAUAGCAUAAAUCUUGAGAGAAAAAAAAACUUAAUUUAACAGCCGAAUUUUUGAUCCCGAAUUUUUAAUUGGUGAACGUAUAAUAUCCGCAUAAAUCACGUAUCCAAAUAAUCGGCGAAUCCGUUUUUUAACUGUAUUUUUCAACAAAUUUAAAAAUUAGAAGACGAAUUUUAUCCGAAUUAUACCCGUACCGAAUUUUUGCCGAAUCCGAAUUAACUAACUAUGCUGGAGAAUGCGGCUCAGCAUGGCAUGUCUUUUGGCCGGAUUCAUGCCAUGUAGGGCCGCCUCCGAUCUAUUUCGGUCUAGGAAAAUGUUUGCGAAAGUAAUCCAAUGCCUGAAAGAAAAUAUUUUAUAUAUUGAAUUAACACAUGCCCGUUUUACACCCUGAUUAGUAGAUCUCCAGAAUAUCCAAAUCCAGAACAAGUCAAAAUCAUCAAUUCGCCACAACAGUCGUUGCCACCACCACGUUCCAGAGUCCCACAGUAGACCCAGUAAUGGCAGUCCCCCAUUCCCACGUACUCCACCACCAACACCACAUCCAGAUCCAAGGACUACAAUCAAAUCAUUCCUUUGAGUCCCCAAUCGGACGGCGGAUGAUCCACUUAAUCAAAUCACCAUCUUCACCAUUGGGGAUGAAUAGGAGGAGGGAAUCAUCGAGUUUUCGGAUCGCAGUAGUGUCGGAGGUGAGAGAGAAGAAGAAGAAAAAGGAGUUGGAAGGGGUGGGGGAGGAGCUGAAUUCCGUGGCGGCACAGAAUCUCGACCGGGCACCUGCUCGCCGCCGCGUUCGAUCUGCCUUCCUCGACGUCCAACGCAAUUUGGAUCACUUCUUGUUCAAGAUGGCUCCGACGGGGAUCCCAACAGAAGAGAGAUAUGAGACUAAUUCGAAGGGGUUAGAGAUAUUCUGGAAGAGCUGGUUACCAAGGCCUGGCAUUACCCCUAAGGCUGCCCUCUUCUUUUGCCACGGCUAUGGCGAUACCUGCACCUUCUUUUUCGAAGGUAUUGCAAAGAGAAUAGCUGAGUCUGGAUAUGCAGUAUAUGCCAUGGAUUACCCGGGCUUUGGCCUCUCAUAUGGACUACAUGGCUACAUCCCAAGCUUUGACGGAAUGGUCAAUCAUGUCAUUGAGCAGUAUGCACGCAUCAGAGGGUUAAAGGAAGUGAAUGGGCUACCACACUUUCUGUUGGGGCAGUCCAUGGGAGGAGCAGUUGCUCUCAAAGUACAUCUAAAGCAACCGGCGGAGUGGGAUGGGGUACUUCUUGUUGCACCAAUGUGUAAAAUUGCAGAAGAUGUGACACCGCCAGGGCCAGUUUUGAAGGCGCUUACUCUACUGUCAUAUGUUUUACCUGAAGCAAAGCUGUUCCCACAGAAAGAUUUGGGAGAUUUGGCUUUUAGGGAUUCAGCAAAAAGGAAAAUUGGUAUUUCUUAUACUCUUCCUCCAAGAGUUUCAGGCUCCGAUGCCGCUUCCUUUGCUGAGCACCCGGAUCUAAUUAACUAGAGUACCCCUUGGAGGAUCGUUAGAUAGCAAGAAGAGAAUACCACCACAAGAGGAACGGAAAAGGUCAGAAGUUACCAACAGAUGAAUGAAAUAUCACUAAGCCCAGCAGGACCAAGAUGAACUGAGCGGCACAAGAGGAACCGACCAGCACCAAGGAAUCAGUAGAGAGGUCGAGCGGCCGCAAGGAACUAACAGAGGGGGUCGAGCGGCACCAAGGAACUAGCAAAGAGGUUGAGCGGCAGCAAGGAAGCAGUAGAGGGGGUUGAGCGGCACCAAGGAACCAGUAGAGAGGUCGAGCGGCACCAAGCAGCAGAGAGGCUGAGUUCAACGUAAUCUCGUACUGCGACCAAAUGCGACUGAGGACAGCUGUUGAACUUAUAAAGGCAACGAAGGAUAUCGAAUCACAAUUGGACAAGGUUUCCUGUCCAUUGCUGAUUC